rnacentral:rRNA from 1 species
AGUGAACGCUGGCGGUAGGCCUAACACAUGCCAGUCGAACGGCAGCACAGUAAGAGCUUGCUCUUACGGGUGGCGAGUGGCGGACGGGUGAGGAAUACAUCGGAAUCUACUUUUUCGUGGGGGAUAACGUAGGGAAACUUACGCUAAUACCGCAUACGACCUACGGGUGAAAGCAGGGGAUCUUCGGACCUUGCGCGAUUGAAUGAGCCGAUGUCGGAUUAGCUAGUUGGCGGGGUAAAGGCCCACCAAGGCGACGAUCCGUAGCUGGUCUGAGGGGAUGGUCAGCCACACGGGAACGGAGACAGGGUCCAGACUCCUGCGGGAGGGAGCAGUGGGGAAUAUGGGACAAUGGGCGCAAGCCUGAUCCAGCCAUACCGCGUGGGUGAAGAAGGCCUUCGGGUUGUAAAGCCCUUUUGUUGGGAGAGAAAAGCAGCAGGUUAAUACCCCGCUGUUCUGACGGUACCCAAAGAAUAAGCACCGGCUAACUUCGUG